CCAGGACAGGGUGCCGGGUGUAUCACUGGUCCAGGAGCACUAUGCUGGCAGAAUCCCUUUGGUGCCUGAUGGCCCUGCCUUCGUGGGAACAGAGGCUAAGGCUUUGAGUUACAGCUGCCUCCCCAACAGUGCAUCCCCCUUUCCUUCCUCAGCCUCAGGUGGGAGACAGGGCAGGCAGCCCCCCUUUCCUCUUCUCCCCUUCUCCAGCCCCUGUCUGUCCACCCAGCUGGAGGCAGCCAGGCUUGCCUAUGGACUGGUUGACAGCCUUCAUGCACAGGUUCUCCACCAGAGCCUUUCUUGGGGGCCACUGCAAGCAGCAGGCCUCCAGAUGACAUCACGGGGAAGAUCAAGAGGGUGUGGAGGGGCAUCCAAGCCUCCCCAGGAGACAGGAGACGCCAGCCCAGCAGAGCCCUAGGGGCGACACCACUCCCACUCACCGCCUACUCUCCUCUCACCUCUGCAACACUGGGGACACUCACAAGACUGUGAUCCAAGUCGGCCGUCGUCUUCUGCAGCUCUGGAGACCUGAUGCUGGGGAAGGGCAUGCCUGGCAUCACCACACACCUGGGGGGAGACAGGAGCCUGGGGCCGGUGGGCCCACACAUCACCAGCUGCUCCGUUCUACCAUUUCUUCAGCCCUCUUCGCUGUGCCUGCGGCUCUGCCCCUCCCCUCUCUGCACCUACCACACAGAGAGGCCUUGUUGAGCUCAGAGAUCCCACCUAGGCCAAUCCACUGGGUUCUGCGGCAGCGAUGGCCUGCCUGAUCUUCCACCUGCUCUCCCAGGGCCAAAGCCAGAGCUGCUGAGCCCCUCCAGCUGGCUGGUCUGAGCAGUCACAGCCCGGCUUUGGGCUCCGAUGGCAGCAGACGGC
rnacentral:lncRNA from 1 species